rnacentral:rRNA from 1 species
GGUCAAGCAAUAAGGGCACAGGGCGGAUGCCUUGGCACUAAGAGCCGAUGAAAGACGUGAUAAGCUGCGAUAAGCUCGGGGAGGAGCAAAUAUCCAUUGAUCCGGAGAUGUCUGAAUGGGGAAACCCACAUGAGCAAACCUCAUGUAUCCUACAGCCAAUACAUAACUGUAGAAGGGAACCCGGGGAACUGAAACAUCUAAGUACCCGGAGGAAAAGAAAGAAAACUCGAUUCCGUAAGUAGCGGCGAGCGAACGCGGAGGAGCCUAAACCGGAAUGCGUGCAUUCCGGGGUUACGGACUGCAUUUAAGAUUCUCUGAAGCUAACAGAACGGUUUUGGGAAAGCCGGCCGGAGAGGGUGAAAGCCCCGUACGUGAAAGCUGAUGAGACUGAGCAGGAUCCAGAGUACCACGAGACACGUGGAAC